AAAGUUUGUAAUUUCAACGAGGUAUCUGUAAGUUUUUCAGUAUAAUUCCUCCUCUCCCCCUGCCAGCGUAAGGGGUCAUGGGUUCUUUAAAAUUUUUUCAAUUAUUUGGAAUAUUAAAUAAAAUAAUUAUUUAUUAAAAUAUGAAAGCUUGAAUUACAAUAUACCCAAUCUAUUUGGCCUUAUUUAAACAUAUUUAAUCUCCUUUUAUCUGUCAUUUCAUCGGCCUCUCCUGCCCUGUCGGGCGGGAGAGGCCUCCCUCUCUUCCACCAGGCUGUGGGUUUUCCCUCCUCACCACCGGAUGGGAUUGUGAAUAUUUUCUUUUAAUUUCUCCUUUUGCAGCAAUCAGGGCUUUUUGUGAAAUCUCUCUUUUGGAUUGCUUGUUUUCUUCAGCUCUAGUCGAUUUUGUGUGUUUUCUCCCUUUGUUUGUUGUAAGCCUACGGUUAUUUAUGCGCUUUCUCUUGAUUUGCUUUUUUUGGGAGCCAUUGUUGUUGUUUUCAUUUGGCUGGUAUGGACCUCUCUAAAGCAUAUGCAAGACAAGAUUUAGGGAGUUCUGUAACUGGAGGUUUUAGAGUUUCGCUUUUAGCGUGUCGGGACUUCGAGAGAUCCACAAUGGUUUGGAACUCUUCUAGUCCAGAGCUAACGAGCAGGUCUUGGUAGCCUUCGCGGCAUGGUCUCGUCAGUGUGUAGCCCGCCACUCCCAGUUCGUUUUGGUGCUCUGACUGUCAUCUUUGUCGGGUCUCCUCCCUGUACAGACCUCCUCUUGUCUUCCCAAGACUAUCGUCUUUUGCUCUUGUUGCUUACAAGACUUUCUCUAGGCUUCUUUUACUUCUCAAAGUGUAUGCGGUUAAUGUUAGAUUUCAUCAAUAGGGGCAGCAAUAAAGUUUGGUGAUUAGCAAUUAAAUUUUAGUUUAUUUUCACUUUUUUAUUAUUUUUUUUAUGUACUGCGCGUAUGAAUCUCAUUUCAUUAAACAGUUAAAAAGUUAGUUUUUAGCAAUUAAAUUUUCCAUUUUAAUUUAUUAAAUUGAAUUGAAAGUUUGAAUGGAAUAAUAAUAUUUAUUUUUUUUUUUGCAUUUUAUUUUAUUAGCUACUACAAAGAAACAUCUAAAUCUCAAAACUGCUGAAAAUAAAUUUGUAAUUUCUUGAAAAAUAUAAGGUAUGAUUUCUAUUAAAGUUAGUGAUUUGCUAGGGAGACAUAUUAUUUUGAUUAAGUUAACUUAUAAGAUUAGAUAAAUAGACAAAUGUGCAUAAUUAACUGUUAAUUUAUA
rnacentral:lncRNA from 1 species